UCUAGUAGGGAGAAGUGCUUUGUGUGUAGUUGUGUCUGUAGGCAUAGUGUUAUGCAGGUGUCUUGUAGUUUUUUUUCCAUGGUAUUUUGGUGUUGUUAGAGAUUUUGGAUAGAUAGUUUUUAGUAUUAAUCUAUGAGUGUCUUAUCUCUUGUAUCAUUUCGUUAUGUAUUUUCAUGUUUUUUGUUUGUUAUACUGGUGCUUGCUUGAGCCG
rnacentral:lncRNA from 1 species